UGGGUAACCUGCCUCAAAGAGGGGAAUAGCCUCCCCGAAAGGGAGAUUAAUACCGCAUAAUAUGUUUUGAUCGCAUGAUCGAGACAUCAAAGGAAUUUCCUCGGAAAUUCCACUUUGAGAUGGACCCGCGGCGCAUUAGCUAGUUGGAGAGGUAACGGCUCACCAAGGCGACGAUGCGUAGCCGACCUGAGAGGGUGAUCGGCACAUUGGAACUGAGACACGGUCCAGACUCCG
rnacentral:rRNA from 1 species